rnacentral:rRNA from 1 species
GGAUGAGUGCACCCUGCUGUUGCAGCGUCUUCAGUGUGAUAAGCAUCUUCACUGAUUCAAGUUCCUUCCGGACACGUGUGCAUUGUGGGCUCUGUGCUGGCAAACCGUCUUUGGACAAUCUUGACAAUUUGACCUCAGAUCGGGUGGGACUACCCGCUGAACUUAAGCAUAUCAAUAAGCGGAGGAAAAGAAACUAACAAGGAUUCCCCUAGUAACGGCGAGUGAAGAGGGAAAAGCUCAAAUUUUGAAUCUGGUGUCUUYGGCGCCCGAGUUGUAAUCUAGAGAAGUGUUUUCUGCCUCGGACCACACAUAAAUUCCCUGGAAUGGGGUGUCAUAGAGGGUGAGAAUCCCGUUUGUGGUGUGGACUACCUUGGCUCUGUGAUACACUCUCAACGAGUCGAGUUGUUUGGGAAUGCAGCUCAAAAUGGGUGGUAAAUUCCAUCUAAAGCUAAAUAUUGGCGAGAGACCGAUAGCGAACAAGUACCGUGAGGGAAAGAUGAAAAGCACUUUGGAAAGAGAGUGAAACAGUACGUGAAAUUGUUGAAAGGGAAGCGUUUGAAGUCAGUCACAUUGGUCGGAAUUCAGCCUGGCUUCUGCCUGGUGUACUUUCUGGCAAAUGGGUCAGCGUCAAUUUUGACCGAGAGAAAAAGACUUGAGGAAUGUGGCUGUCUUCGGGCAGUGUUAUAGCCUCUUGUUGUAUGUCUCGGUUGGGAUUGAGGAUCGCAGC